rnacentral:rRNA from 1 species
AACGCUAGCUACAGGCUUAACACAUGCAAGUCGAGGGGCAGCAUUGGAGUAGCAAUACUUUAGAUGGCGACCGGCGCACGGGUGAGUAACACGUAUCCAACCUGCCGCUUACUCGGGGAUAGCCUUUCGAAAGAAAGAUUAAUACCCGAUAGCAUAAUGAUUCCGCAUGGUUUCAUUAUUAAAGGAUUCCGGUAAAGGAUGGGGAUGCGUUCCAUUAGGUUGUUGGUGAGAUAACGGCUCACCAAGCCUUCGAUGGAUAGGGGUUCUGAGAGGAAGGUCCCCCACAUUGGAACUGAGACACGGUCCAAACUCCUACGGGAGGCAGCAGUGAGGAAUAUUGGUCAAUGGGCGUUAGCCUGAACCAGCCAAGUAGCGUGAAGGAUGAAGGCUCUAUGGGUCGUAAACUUCUUUUAUAUGGGAAUAAAGUGGUCCACGUGUGGAUUUUUGUAUGUACCAUAUGAAUAAGGAUCGGCUAACUCCGUGCCAGCAGCCGCGGUAAUACGGAGGAUCCGAGCGUUAUCCGGAUUUAUUGGGUUUAAAGGGAGCGUAGGCGGAUUGUUAAGUCAGUUGUGAAAGUUUGCGGCUCAACCGUAAAAUUGCAGUUGAUACUGGUCCCCUUGAGUGCAGUUGAGGCAGGCGGAAUUCGUGGUGUAGCGGUGAAAUGCUUAGAUAUCACGAAGAACUCCGAUUG